rnacentral:lncRNA from 1 species
GGGCCUCUGAUCUAGAACAAAAAGCGACAGUGCAGGUAGGGACAAGCUGGUGGUCCUUCUAGCCACCUUCCUCAAGUCUGGCCUUCCUGAGGGCUGCCUCGAAGACAAACCUGGGGCACAAGGCCACAAGAUCACAGAGGCCUAGGUUGAGAUGACAGAGUCACAGGCUGGCAGCAGGAUGGAUCCUGAACCACCUCCUGGAGGAAAGCCUCCUGGUUCUAGAGACCACUCAAGCCGUGUCAGAUUUAAAUGAGUCCAUAACAACAGUCUUUGUUAUUUUAAGCCACAAGGACCUCCAAGUGUGAAGACUAUAGUGGGUAGUGUUGAUUCUUUUGAUGAAUGCAAAGGACCUGGAUGGGAGUUCCCACUGCAGCUCAGCAGUAAUGAACCAAGUAUCCAUGAGGACAUGGGCACGAACCCUGGCCUCUCUCAGCAGGUUAAAGAUCCAGUGUUGCCGUGAGCUGCUGUGGCUGCGGUGUAGGCCAACAGCUGCAGCUCCGAGAUUCGACCCCCGAGCCUUGGAAUUUCCAUAGGCCACAGAUGCGGCCCUAAAAAGCCAAAAAAAGGAGGAGGGGACCCAGAUCAAGACACAACAGCAGGAAACUGGAAGGAGAAAAAAUAUUUAAGAGAAUAAAAACUGGAGGGGAGCAAGUCUGGUGUUGGGAGUGAGAAAUCGUGAGAAGAGAAUGAUGCCCCCCUGACCUCUUGCUCAAGGGGACGGCAAUGCCAUGAACUGAGACAAAUGUGGAGGAUGCGGGAAAGGAAGAGGUGCGGAGUUGGAACUGUCUGAAGAAUAUCCAGGAAGACGUUUCCAGCUGGCAGGAGGGGACGUGCGUCUGGCACUUAGGAAAUGUGUCACGGCAGGAGACAGGCUUGGGAACCAGUCUCCUGGAGUGGAAGUUGGAGUGAGAAAAUGAGAAGGCCAAAGGCAAAGUGUGAGGGUAAAAGAUGCAAGAGCAGAAGAGGAUGAUCCAAGCAGGGGGAUGAAGCGGGAGGGAUGGAAAGAGAAUCGGGGAAAGCAGCGCCGAGGGAGGAGAGAACUUCCACCUGCUGGACAGCAGCGCCUGUGCCAUCGGCAACUGGCCACUUGCUUUAAAACGGAUGUGCAUCGAUGGAUUAGAACAUGAACUUAGGCAUUAAGACUAAAGAGAAAGGGGGUGUGUGGUUGUGGAGAACACAGUUAUUUAUUCUCAUUUUUCAAAGCUUUCUGCUCCGACAUUACAAAAGCAGAGAGAGAGAGAGAGAGAUGUCUUAGAGCUAUGGUCUGUGUGUGAGAAAAACAUAAGAAACUGUCAUCGUAAGCAUCAUUAUCAAUAAACAUUGAGGCCGCACAUAAUUGCAGAGCCGCUCCUUCUAUCUAGGAACUUCUAUUCUACUCCCAGAAAUAGAUCAGACACAUGAAGAAUGGCCAAAUGGAAACAAGUGUCGGAGGAGGGUAAGUGCCAGAGAAUGAUUUCAGCAAGAAGUUGCUCCAGGUUUCUGGGCUGGGGGCUGAUGGGAGGAGGCUUCCCAGAAAAAAAAAGAAUCCUGGGCUAUCGUUUGCAAAGGCAAAGGGAACAGUGAAGACACGGAGGAAGUAAAGGAAAGGAGACGCACAGCGCAGGCCGAGGCUCGAAGGAAGACGUGUACGUGGCAUUUUCAGGUCCUUGGCAUCGCACAGGGCCGGGAAAUGACAUCCACACUGGAGUUCCCAUCCAUGGCACCUUCGGGGACUGUUCAACCCAAUGGUUCAGUCCGUACCUAUGUCAAUACUAGACCUGGGCUGGGGAUGAGGCCAGAUAGGUGGGUGGGUGCCAUGAUGCGAAACACUUUUUGCAGGGCACCGUGAGGGCGUUUAUACUGAACGUGAGGCACACAGAGGGGGUUUCGAAUGGAGAUAUAAAAAGGAGAACUGCAUUAGAACGAUUCCUCCCGGGAGCAGGGCACAGGACGUCUUAGGAAAUCAAAACAAGAGAGAGGCGGAGAACCGGAAGAUUCUUGCAAAUGCCCAGAAUGCGGGUGGUGACGUGUUUGGGUCUAUGGCUGGAAUAUUAGGCUUGGGAAGUAAACGGGCAAUAGUUUAUAGGAUGUCUAAGGCCAACAACUCAAAACGGAGUCAGCAGGCAGGGAAAUUCAAAUUCAGCCAUUGUUUAUGGAGACAUAUGAUGGGUUUUGCUUUAGGAAUGCUGAUUUUGGCAAGUAGGCAGUCUAGUAAGAGACCUCUAGUUUGCAGUUAGAGAUACAAUACUGAAACCCGGUGUAGUGGCUUGGGCUGCAGGUGGAGGGCAGGCGGUGAAACGGUUACUUCAAACAAUGAAGAUUCAGAAAAAGAAAAGCGGAGUAGAGGCUGUCUUGUUGAAACUGAGUCCUGCUAAAACCGAGUGCCUCUGUGCAGUUUAUGGUUGACCUCUCUAUCCAAAAUGUUAUUCCUGGGAGUUCCCGUUGUAGUUCAGUGGUAAUGAACCUGACUAGUAUCCAUGAGGAUGCAGGUUUGAUCCCUGGCCUCGCUCAUUGGGUUAAUGGUCCGGUGUUGCCGUGAGCUGUGGCAUAGGUCACAGAUGAGGCUUGGCUCCUGCGUUGCUGUGGCUGUGGCUAUAGGCCAGCAGCUGUAGCUCUGAUUCGACCCCUAGCCUGGGAACCUCCAUGUGCCGCAGGUGCAGCCCUCAAAAGCAAAGAAAAAAACAAACCAAAACAAUGUGUUACUCCCUUUCUUGCCCAAAACAUGUUCCCCUCAAGAUUGAGGAGUAGCAAAGAAAACCUCUUGGAGUCCCCCAUCUCUUGCUCUUAGGAAAAAGGCUUCAGCCCCUUAGACCUUCCCUGAGUUCCAAAGAGCAGAUUCAAACAGUUACUGCCUAGGGCUGAGAGGGAACUCGGAAAGGAACAACAGGGCAGGGAUGGGGCCAGGUCCUCGGUCCCCCUCCCCGGAUGUGCCUAACAAUGUGAUACCUACCUCUGAGCUCUUCUCUAAGAACGAAGGCCCCCACCUAGGUGGUGGGAGGUAACUUUAGGCUGAGCUCAAGCAUGAGGACCCCAGAAUGGUUGGAACCAGAAGGCUGAUGGUUCCUAGAACACACCUUGGGACCUACCCACCUACUCAUCAGAAGGUUACACAGACCUCCCUCCUACUCAUCAAUGUUUUUUCUUUCUUCUUUUCUUUUUUCUUUUCAGGGCUGCACCUGAAGCAUACAUGGAAGUUCCCAGGCUAGGGGUUGAAUCAGAGCUGCAGCUUCUGGCCUACACCAGAACAGCAACACGGGAUCCAAGCCACAUCUGUGAACUGCACCACGGCUCACGGCAACACUGAAUCCUUAGGCCACUGAGCAAGGCCAGGGACCGAACCUGCAUCCUCAUGCAUGUUAGCUGGGUUCCUAACCUGCUGAGCCACAGUAGGAACGCCUCAAAAAUUUUGCCUAUAAAAACCUCCCUGAAACACAUCAAGGGGUUUGGGUGUUUUGAGUACAAGCCACCUGUUCUCCUUGCUUGGCCCCUGUGAUUAACCUUUCUCUGCUCCCCGACACACUUCAGUUUGUCGGGCCUCACGGGGCAUCGGACACGUGCACUUGGGUUUGCCAACACUCUGGUGCUGCUGUGUUUGAAAGUCAGAGAAAGAGGUGUCGCCAUGAGAGGUGGUGGCCCAAAGGGAAACAUCCAAAGAGUAGGAUGCACAGCGGAUAUACUUCAAGGGAGAGAGAGUUUGAAGUGGGGUUAAGUGGCCACACUGCCCAUAUGCCAAAGAGAAGUUCUCUUGAAUUCUCUGAUGUCCUCUGUCCUGGGAGCAGUUGUGGAACAGCGUUUGAGAGAGAAGACAAAGGGUCAGGGCUGCCGCUUGCUUCUUUCUGGAAGUGCCUUCUGGAGAUGGGAGAGGUGACCUUCAAGCCAGCUCCCUACAGAAAACUGCCCGCUCUGCUGUGAAGCACUCAGACACAAAGUCCUUGGCUCAGAGCUUCCAGGGAGCGAAGCAGAUGGCAGCUCUGUCAACUGCAGCUGCAAACAGCUUCAUCUUCAGUUUAUUUCCAGGAGCCAGAGGAGCUCAGGGAUAGUUAACAGCUGUCUACCUGUAGGGACUCAAAUGAUCGCUAGGCCAUCAAACCAUCAUCUACCAAACAGUGACUUAGCAAUUUAUCCCAAGGCUUCCUGGAGGCCUGAAAGAACUAUCCAAAGGCCUACUUCGUGUGCCCACCAAAGGGAUUUUUCUAGUAGAAAAGGAAGAGAUAUACCUUUUAAUCAAGACCUUCUCCAAACAAAAAGACUCUAUAAAGCAUGACUGUUGGUUGCUCUCUCUGAAAAUAAAUGCAAAUGUUCUAUUUGGAGGUUUGUUUUUUAGCAACCUCCCAGGGAAAUAUUUGUCCUUGUUGCUGUUAUUGUUGUUGUUGAAAUCUAUAGCCUAAUCCGGGGUUAAAAUGGAGAAUAUUAACCACCAGCUAGAGUCAUUGCCAAGCCCAAGCCCUGCCAGGCUAUUGCGGUGGUUUUUUUAAAUAAAUGUUGGAAGGCAGA